GGAGUUGUGGCUCAGUAGUAGAGUGCUUGCUUGGCAUGUGAGGCACUGGGUUCAAUCCUCAACACCA
rnacentral:tRNA from 1 species